ACGGGAGGCAGCAGUGAGGAAUAUUGGUCAAUGGGCGGAAGCCUGAACCAGCCAUGUCGCGUGCAGGACUACGGCCCUACGGGUCUUAAACUUCUUUUAUAGGGGGAUAAAGUGAGAUAUGUAUAUCUUUUUGUAGGUACCCUAUGAAUAAGCAUCGGCUAACUCCGUGCCAGCAGCCGCGGUAAUACGGAGGAUGCGAGCGUUAUCCGGAUUUAUUGGGUUUAAAGGGUACGCAGGCGGCACGUUAAGUCAGCGGUGAAAUGUCGGGGCUCAACCCGGGCACUGCCGUUGAAACUGGCGAGCUUGAGUACGGAUGAAGUCGGCGGAAUGUGAUGUGUAGCGGUGAAAUGCUUAGAUAUGUCACAGAACACCGAUUGCGAAGGCAGCUGACUAAUCCGCAACUGACGCUCGGGCACGAAAGCGUGGGGAUCGAACAGGAUUAGAUACCCUGGUA
rnacentral:rRNA from 1 species